rnacentral:rRNA from 1 species
ACGGGAGGCAGCAGUGGGGAAUAUUGGGCAAUGGGCGAAAGCCUGACCCAGCAACGCCGCGUGAAGGAAGAAGGCCUUCGGGUUGUAAACUUCUUUUGUCAGGGACGAAGGACGUGACGGUACCUGACGAAUAAGCAACGGCUAACUACGUGCCAGCAGCCGCGGUAAUACGGAGGAUGCGAGCGUUAUCCGGAUUUAUUGGGUUUAAAGGGUGCGCAGGCGGGCUGUUAAGUCAGCGGUGAAAUCUCCGGGCUCAACUCGGAAACUGCCGUUGAUACUGGCGGUCUUGAUUCAUGUCGAGGAUGGCGGAAUGCAGCGUGUAGCGGUGAAAUGCUUAGAUACGCUGCAGAACUCCGAUUGCGAAGGCAGCUGUCCAGAGAUGCAAUGACGCUCAGGCACGAAAGCAUGGGGAUCGAACAGGAUUAGAUACCCUGGUA